CAUGUAUUUAGCAUUUACAAGGCCUGUUCAAUCUCUGGCACUGAAAAAGAAAAUGAAUAAUAUUUAUCUUACUUAAUGACUGAAGUUUUCCUAUGCCUAAGACUAUCUCAGUUCUUCUUUCAAUUACCUUGUUUAUUAUCCAAGCAUGUGCUCUCACUUUUGAUUCAGAAUGUAUGGUUCUCAAAUAUCCUGUCAGCCUAAUAUAAAUCAUGAUUUAGGGAUGUCCUUGUCAUGAAACAUAAGUCGUUUUUUGAGGCAAUCACUUUUGGCUUAUCCUGAGCUCAUAUCCAGCAUUCCUGAGCAGACCUCUAUGCUUCACUCCUAAUAGAGUAUUACAGAAAGGGGUUUUAAUUCAUAAUAUGGAAUCCUGAAAGACAUUUUAUCUUGAGAUUGCCCUUGGGACUAAGAACCUGCCAAUUAUGCCUCAGCCUCUAAAUUGUUAGCCCAGAUAAUUUACAAUUACUGACCACGGGCAGCAAAUCUUGCUGCCUCCUUGUGCCACAAAGUCUCUGGUCUAGGUCCCUUUCAUCCAACAAAUAUAUACUGACCUCUUAAUAUGUCCCUGGAACUUGUUUCCUUGAGACCUCUUCUGUCUGUUCUUUGUUUUUAUAUAGCUCUUCUUUCUUCACUUGAAAUAAAC
rnacentral:lncRNA from 1 species